rnacentral:rRNA from 1 species
CCUACGGGAGACAGCAGUGAGGAAUAUUGGUCAAUGGACGAGAGUCUGAACCAGCCAAGUAGCGUGAAGGAUGACUGCCCUAUGGGUUGUAAACUUCUUUUAUAAAGGAAUAAAACGAGGCACGUGUGCCUUUUUGCAUGUACUUUAUGAAUAAGGAUCGGCUAACUCCGUGCCAGCAGCCGCGGUAAUACGGAGGAUCCGAGCGUUAUCCGGAUUUAUUGGGUUUAAAGGGAGCGUAGAUGGGUUGUUAAGUCAGUUGUGAAAGUUUGCGGCUCAACCGUAAAAUUGCAAUUGAUACUGGCAGGCUGGAGUACAGUUGAGGUAGGCGGAAUUCGUGGUGUAGUGGUGAAAUGCUUAGAUAUCACGAAGAACCCCGAUUGCGAAGGCAGCUUACUAAACUGUGACUGACAUUGAUGCUCGAAAGUGUGGGUAUCAAACAGGAUUAGAUACCCGUGUAGUC